rnacentral:tRNA from 1 species
UCCUUGGUGGUCCAGUGGUUAAGAUGCUACACUCCCAAUGCAGGAGGCCCACGUUCAAUACCUGGUCAGGGAA